rnacentral:rRNA from 1 species
UACGUAGGGUGCAAGCGUUGUCCGGAAUUAUUGGGCGUAAAGAGCUCGUAGGUGGCCUGUCGCGUCUGUUGUGAAAGCCCUGGGCUCAACCUGGGAACUGCAGUGGAAACUGGACAACUAGAGUGUGGUAGAGGGUAGCGGAAUUCCCGGUGUAGAGGUGAAAUUCGUAGAUAUCGGGAGGAACACCGGUGGCGAAGGCGGCGAUCUGGGUCGAUACUGACGCUGAGGUGCGAAAGCGUGGGGAGCAAACAGG